CAAUGAAGGGUAUUCUGAAAGGCUUCACGGACCUCACCAAUCCCCAGCUGAAACAGCACAUGGAGGCGGACAUCAACAUCAGCGUGAAUGAUCUCAAAGCCAGAUCAGCGUGCAGCAUGGCUGCGAUCCAGGAUGAGUGGCAGGGGCUGAAAAUCCUGGUCAGCCACAAUUUCAAAGGACAAGUCCUACAGUGACCUGUGGGAGACCAUGUUGAUAUAGCAUCCCUACAGGCACGAUUACAAGAGCCAGGAAUCUCUGCGAAGAACCACAUUAAGAACAAGACAAGAAGCUGCCUUGGGGUCUUCACCACCGAGGACCUGAUGAAGAUCAGCCUGGAGGGGCCUUCUGCUGAGGAAUAUGAUGCCACUCCUGCCAUGGACUGCUGGCUGACCUCUAAACAUGCCAGACAGCCAACAUAUAAAAGCAGCUGGACGACUGAUAUCCUUUGCGUCUAGUAGGCAUGGACCUACUUUUUUAAGCUCAUUGUCCUUCUAGAACAUGUAUCCAUUUCCAACAUUAAGUCAGAUUGAAUGGCAUAUCUUAAAGAAUUACAUAGUACUUGCCUGAAGUCACUGUGCACUUCAACUCCUUACACCUGAUUAUCCACAAUGUUUUAUGCACUAUUGUUGUGUUGUAGUUAAACUUAGAUUUACAGGGCUUCUAUGAGCCCUAUAUGAAAGGGAAAUUUAGUAUAAUAAGCAAUCUGCAUUACAAUGAAUAUCUAAUUAUGCAGCCAGCAUUAAGAUAAAUGUGAAGGACCGAAAAAAGUUAGUGUUGAGCCCUGUUACAGAUCAUAGUACAACAUUGCAAAUGUGAUCCAUUUUCAG